rnacentral:misc_RNA from 1 species
AAAGUCGUAACAAGGUUUCCGUAGGUGAACCUGCGGAAGGAUCAUUAUGAAUUGUUUGAGUUGUGCUUGAAAGAGCACAACUUUUCUUUUCUGUGAACUGACUUUGAUUUUAUCUUUGAAUUGGUUUUUUUUCUUUCUUCCACCUUUAUUGGUGGAGAAAUCAAGCCUUUUAAAAGUUUAAUGACAAGUGCUUUUUUGUUUUCUUUUUUAUUAUUUCUUUUUUAAUUUACUCUGCGGCAUCACAUCUUCUUCCUUUAUUGGUUGAGAGCGAUAAAACAGUGUGAAAUGAAAAAAACCAAGACAACUUUCAGCAAUGGAUCUCUUGGCUCUU